rnacentral:rRNA from 1 species
AUACGUAGGGGGCAAGCGUUAUCCGGAUUUACUGGGUGUAAAGGGAGCGUAGGUGGAUUGUUAAGUCAGUUGUGAAAGUUUGCGGCUCAACCGUAAAAUUGCAGUUGAAACUGGCAGUCUUGAGUACAGUAGAGGUGGGCGGAAUUCGUGGUGUAGCGGUGAAAUGCUUAGAUAUCACGAAGAACUCCGAUUGCGAAGGCAGCUCACUAGACUGUUACUGACACUGAUGCUCGAAAGUGUGGGUAUCAAACAGGAUUAGAUACCCUGGUAGUCCACACAGUAAACGAUGAAUACUCGCUGUUUGCGAUAUACAGUAAGCGGCCAAGCGAAAGCAUUAAGUAUUCCACCUGGGGAGUACGCCGGCAACGGUGAAACUCAAAUGAAUUGACGGGG